CAAUAAAACCGGUUUCAUAGGCCGCACGGAUCGUUAACAUGCUCAUUUUAUCCCAAUUCCCAAAUUUUUUAGCCAUUUUUAUAGAAAUUCAUGUAUUUUCAGAAGCGGAAAUGAUCUUGAAGUAUGAAAACUCGGCCGAUCAUGCUCAUAUAUAUUGCGGAUAUGAAUAAAAAUGUUAAACUUGACCGCACGAAUGAUUGUCAUGCCCGUUUUACCAUAUCCCCCCAGAUUAUCGCAUUUCUGGUAAGAUAUGGCAUUUAUCAAGGGAGAAAAUCAGUAAAAAUCCAUCAAAAUAAGUUUUUACCAGCUUAAAUACAUUUAAGCUAUCGAAUAUAUCGAGAUAAAAAAUCGAACGAACUGGUUUUUGGUCAUUUUGCCUUGAUGCCCCAAAAAUAUCAUUUUUUGAACUGAAGAGUUCUGCAACUUUUGAAAACCAUGAUUGCGGUUUACAAAGCCAUACUUUUCUGAUGUAAAAAUGUGCGGGGAAUCGAAUAAAUCUGGUUUCAUAGGCUGCGUGGAUCGUUAACAUUCUCAUUUUACCCCAAUUCCCCCAUUUUUAGCCUUUUUUGAUAGAGAUUCAUAUAUUUUCAGAAGCGGAUGUGACCUUGAAGUAUACAAACUCGACCAAUCAAGCUCAUAUAUAUUGCCGAUAUAAAUGAAAAUGUUAAACUUGACCGCAUGAAUGAUUGUCAUGCCCGUUUUACCAUAUUCCCUCAGAUUAUCGCACUUCUGGUAAGAUAUUCUAUUUAUCUAGCGAGAAAAUCAGUAAAUGUCCGUCCAUAUGAGUUUCUAAUUGGUGAAUACAUUUGAGCCUUCAAAUAAAUCAGGAUAAAAAUAAAAAGAACGGGUAUGUUGGUCAUUUUGCCUUGAUUCCCCAAAAAUAUCAUUUUUUGAAUUGAAGAGCUCUGUUACUUUUGAAAACCACGAAUGCGAUUUACGGAGUCAUGUUUAUCUAAUGUAAAAACGUGUGGAGAAUCGAAUAAAAUUGGUUUCGUGGGCCGCACGGAUCGUUAACAUACUCAUUUUACCCCAAUUCCGCAAUUUUUGUGUGUUUGAUAGAAAUUCAUGUUCAGAUGCGGAUACGACAUUGAAGUAUAAAAACUCGACCAAUCAAGCUCUUAUAUAUUUUGCUGUAAUAAAUAAAAAUAUUGAACUUGACCGCAUGAACAAUGUCUAUGCCCUUUUUACCAUAUUCCUCAAAUUAUCGCAUUUCUGGAAAAAAUAUGCUUUUUGUCUAGGGAGAAAAUCGGUAAAUGUUCAUCUAAGACAUUUUAAUUUGAAUAACACAUUUAAGUCAUCUAUCUAUUAAAUCAGGGAAUAACAACGAACAUAUAUCUUGGUCAUUUUGCCUUUAUGCCCCAUGUAUGCUAUUUACAAAGUCAUUUUUUUAAAGUUAAAAUGUUCGAAAAAUUUAAUGAAACUGGUUUUAAAGGCCACAAGGAUCGUCAAAAUACUCAUUUCGCUUCAAUUUCUCGAUUUUUUGUGGAUUUUCAUAGAAAUUAAUGUUUUUUUUUUUUGAAGUGGAAAUGACCAUGAAGUUUGAAAAUUCAAUCAAUCAAGCUCAUAUAUACUGUCGAUACAAAUGAAAACGUCACACAUGACCGCAUGAAUGGUUGUCAUGCCUGUUUCACCAUAUUCUCCCAGAUUAUCCAAAUUCUAACUGUGUUUAAUGUGUUUGUCAAACAUUUUCAGUUUUGUACUUUUUAGAGUUAAACAAGCUAUACAAUGUAUAUAGUAUACAUCUAUAAACAAAAUCAACAAAUGACAAAUUUAACAAAAUUUUGUUUAUAACCAAUUUUAACUAUCUAAAGAAAACCUGUUACGAAAAUCGGUCGGAAAUGCUUUUUUCCUAUUUAGCACUGAUUCCUCGUAAAAUAAACAAUUAACUUUACAUAAGUGUAUAACACAAAAAUAAUCUGAUCCGUUUUUCUAUAAAAACGGUUUUUUAAAGAUAAAACCCGUGAAUUCUAGAUGCAGCUUGUUUAACCCUGAAUACAAUAAUUUAGAUGAAUUCGCAAAAAAAAACGAGUUCAAAUCACAGUUAUGACUCAUGCGGGCAUUAAUCCAAUUUACAGGGUUUUUGUCUUAGAAAAUUCACAUCUUAGAAUAAACGCUUUUGAUAACAUUCUGAGUUGUACAGUUAUUCAAAAAAGGAUAUUUUUCGGGGCAUCAAGGCAAAAUGACCAAGAUCAUGACCAAGAUACAAGUUCGUUCGAUUGUUGUAUCCUGAUUUAUUAAAUGGCUCAAAUGUAUAUUUCAAACAAAAACUCAUUUGAAUGGGCCUUUUUGGAUUUUUUGAGUGUUUAUAUUUCAAAGUCAUUAUCGCUUUUGAAAAUACAUGAAAUUCUAUCAAAUCCCAAGAAAAUUGAAAAUUGGGCUAAAAUGAGUAUGCUAACGCCCACAUAGCCGAGGCGGUAAACGCACGGGUAUUCAGCAUGACCGUGCUGAGGGUGACGGGUUCGAUUCCCGGUCGGUCCAGGAUCUUUUCGUAAAGGAAAUUUCCUUGACUUCCUUGGGCAUAGAGUAUCUUCGUGCCUGCCACACGAUAUACGCAUGCAAAAUGGUCAUUGGCAGAGGAAGCUCUCAGUUAAUAACUGUGGAAGUGCUCAUAGAACACUAAGCUGAGAAGCAGGCUUUGUCCCAAUGAGGACGUCACGCCAAGAAGAGAGAGAGAGAGUAUGCUAACGCGCAUUAACCCCUUGAGGCCUAUGAAACCACUUUCAUUAGAUUCUCCGUACAAUUUUACCUAAGAAGGGUAUGACUGUAUAAACUGCAUUAGCGGUUUAUCGAAGCAUAUAAAAUUCUUGUACAUAUUCAAAAUAUUAUAUUUAUAUUCCGGGAUUUCCAGCAAAAUGGCAAGAUAGUUCGUACGAUUUCUAUUUCCUGAUGUAUUGGAUGGCUCAAAUGUGUUUUUCAAAUAAAAACUUAUAUGAACUCAACAGUUUUUCUGAGCUUUUAUACUUCAAAGUCGUUUCCGCUUCUGAAAAUACAUGAAUUUAUAUUAAAAAAUUCUUAAAAAUAGGGAAUUGGGGAAACAUAAGAAAGUGCGAUAACGGUCCGUGAGGCCUAUAAAACCACUUUAAUUAAAUUCCCUGCACAUUUCUACAUUAAAAAAGUUUGACUUCGUAAACCGCAUUCAAGAUUUUCAAAAGUUUUAGAAUUCUGCAAUUAAAAAAAAUAUAUUUUUUCAGGGCAUCAAGGUAAAAUAAACUAGAUAUAAGUUCGUUAGAUAUAUUUAUCCGGUUCAAAAGAUGGGUCGAAUGUCUUUUUUAAAUAAAAAAAACUCAUUUGGAUGGCAUUUACUGAUUUUAAUUUAAAUAAAAUAUGACUUUGUAAAUAGCAUACAUGGUUUUCAAAAGUUACAGAACUCUUCAAUUCAAAAAGAUAUUUUUGGCGCAUAAAGGCAAAAUGACCAAGACAUAAGUUUGUUAGAUUGUUGUUCACGGAUUUAAUAGAUAAAUGGCUCAAUAUAUGUGUUAUUCAAAUAAAAAUCUUUUCCUCCUCGACAAAUAGCAUGUUUUUCCAGAAAUGUGAUAAUCUGGGGGAAUAUGGUAAAACGGGCAUGGCAAUUGUACAUGCCGUCAAGUUUAUUAUUAAUUUUAUUUAUUUCGGCAAUAUAUAUGAGCUUGAUUGGUCGAGUUUUUAUACUUCAAGGUCGUUUCCGCAUCUGAAAAUACAUGAAUUUCUAUCAAACACACGAAAAAUUGCGGAAUUGGGGUAAAAUGAGUAUGUUAACGAUCCGUGAGACCUAUGAAAACAAUUUUAUUCGAUUCUCCACACAUUUUUACAUUAGAUGACCAUGACUCCGUAAAUCGCAUUCGUGGUUUUCAAAAGUAACAGAGCUCUUCAAUUCAAAAAAUGUUAUUUUUGGGGAAUCGAGGCAAAAUGACCAACAUACCCGUUCUUUUUAUUUUUAUCCUGAUUUAUUCGAAGGCUCAAAUGUAUUCACCAAUUAGAAACUCAUAUGGACGGACAUUUACUGAUUUUCUUGCUAGAUAAAUAGCAUAUCUUACCAGAAGUGCGAAAAUCUGAGGGAAUAUGGUAAAACGGGCAUGACAAUCAUUCAUGCGGUCAAGUUUAACAUUUUCAUUUAUAUCGGCAAUAUAUAUGAGCUAGAUUGGUUGGGUUUGUAUACUUCAAGAUCACAUCCGCUUCUGAAAAUAUAUGAAUCUCUAUCAAAAAAGGCUAAAAAUGGGGGAAUUGGGGUAAAAUGAGAAUGUUAACGAUCCACGCAGCCUAUGAAACCAGAUUUAUUCGAUUCCCCGCACAUUUUUACAUCAGAAAAGUAUGGCUUCGUAAACCGCAAUCAUGGUUUUCAAAAGUUGCAGAACUCUUCAGUUCAUAAAAUGAUAUUUUUGGGGCAUCAAGGCAAAAUGACCAAAAAACCAGUCCGUUCGAUUUUUUAUCCCGAUAUAUUCGAUGGCUCAAAUGUAAAAACUCAUUUUGAUGGAUUUUUACUGAUUUUCUCCCUAGAUAAAUGGCAUAUCUUGCCAGAAAUGCGAUAAUCUGGGGGAAUAUGGUUAAACGGGCAUGACAAUCAUUCAUGCGGUCAAGUUUAACAUUUUUAUUCAUAUCCGCAAUAUAUAUGAGCAUGAUCGGUCGAGUUUUCAUACUUCAAGAUCAUUUCCGCUUCUGAAAAUACAUGAAUUUCUAUAAAAACGGCUAAAAAAUUGGGGAAUUGGGGUAAAAUGAGCAUGUUAACGAUCCGUGCGGCCUAUGAAACCAGUUUUAUUGGAUUCCCCGCACAUUUUUGCAUUAGAAAAGUAUAACUUCGUAAACCGCAUUCGUGGUUUUCAAAAGUUACAGAAUUCUUUGUCGGUUUUGUACCUUAUUUUCCCACUGUGCAUUGGUUUGACCGCAUUUAAUCUGAACACUUUUUAAUUUGACCCCCUCUAAUCUGCACAUCGUUCAAACUAAAAAUGGUUCAAACGUCAUACUGCUCCAGGAACAGGGUGAAAAGAAUCAGCAAAAAGGGUUACCAUCAGUGUGUUUUUCGAUGCCCACAGGGUUACUAUUAGUUCAAAUUAAAAAUGAAUCUCGUUGGUUUACAUGAGGUGUCGUUCAAACCAACGGGGGUAGACGGUGCUCAAAUUUAAAAUAAAGACUAAAACAAAACCCAAGUAACCACGAAGCCGUAUAUAAGUGCACCAAUUUUGCCAUAUAUUGAUAACUAAUAUUGUGAAUAUAAUGCUGCAUUACUUUAAACCAGACCUGCCCAACCUUUUACGGCCGCGGGCCACAGCCAACACUCCAUACCAGUUGAUGGGCCAAAAAUUAAAAUUCGACUAUGUAACACUUUUUUCAAAUACUUCUCUGAACUUCUGAACUAUUGUUUAAAAAAAUUUCAGUUUCUUAUGAAAUUUCUGUGCUUACUGCAUAGGGGGAUUAGGGGCAUAAUGGACACCCUAAGCAAAUAAGUAUGUUAGGCCUGCAUAACAGACAAAAACUUAACAUAUUAUCAGUUGGCUUACAACUUUAACUUGUUUCCUACGUAUUUCAAUAAUUUGCUGCAGGUAGAAUGUCAUUAUUGUGAAGAAAUAGUGAAUUGUAAACCGUGUGUUUUUUGGGGCUGGCAGGAAAGGUACGGGGCGAAAUGGACACCCAUCGGGGCAUAAUGGACACCUCUGCAUAUUUUAUGCUGUAUUUUUGAUAAUAUCGACCAGUUAAGUAAUUUGUCUAUGGAUAUUAAUACCACAGAUAUAAUACUCCAUCUUAGACGAGUUUUCAUAUCAUUAAAGUUAAUUAAAUAAAUUUUAGGCUGAAAUAAUCGGUUUGAUUUUUUCCAAACUCUCUAAAACGCCUAACAGUAUGCAACGCGCGUACAUCCAUUCACAAUUGCCAGUGUUCAUUUCGCCCCGAAUCGAGUACUGCAUUGAAAUUGCUAUUUUGAGUAGGUUUUGAUCAAAAAUGUAAUACUUCAUCCAUUGCUAAAUCUGCGUAUACAUGUAGAUAAGCUAACAAUUCACUUGUUUUUAUGGUGGCCACACUCAAACACUCGCAAUACCUUAUUUGCUGCUGCUUCGAAAUUAUAAGAAAUCCACCAUAUGAAAAGCAUACUUCAAUUUCAAUGAUAUUUUGGUUAUUUUGAAGGAAUAUAAAUGGUACUUUUGAAAAAUAGAACAAUGACUUGUUCCUUUAGACUUAUGCAUUAAAAGUUUUACAUAAAAGUCAACGGUUUCGGCAAAAAUAGGGGUGUCCAUUUCGCCCCGGGUGUCCAUUAUGCCCCUAAUCCCCCUACAUAAGAAUUUUUGAAGAAUUUCGCAGUUCGUUUUAGUAAAUAGUAUAAACCAUCCUAGCAUGGGCGCACCACGCUGUCAUAGAGCAUGUCUUGCAUGUCUGGCUGGGUCAUAUUGACCCCUACAUCUUACUUGGCUUAAGAAAGAUACAAUGGCAUUCAUAAAGCAGGAUCUCAGGCUGGUUCCUAUUAAUCAAUGUUUCUAUGUUGUAUCUUACGACAAAAAUAGAAUCUUUAAAUUCUCGUAGAAUUCAGAUUCGUUUGCUGUUUUUUUUAUUUUUUUUAAAGUUGUUUUACAAUGUCAAAGUGUUCUCAAAAGUUUACAAGUACUUUCACAUUGCCAUAAUCUGAUGAUUCCUCGUAAUCUGUAAAUUGAAUCAAGUAGAUAUACAUUUUUAAAUACGCACUAAAAUAUAAAACUACUUAUUUUUUUCAAAUUUCACUUGGAAACGAAAAAAAUACUCAAAAAUAUUAUUUAAAAGGCCAAAUUACAUAAUUUUUCUUUAUUCGUGCCGCGGGCCGCACGAAAUAUCCUCGCGGGCCGGAUCCGGCCCGCGGGUCGUACGUUGGGCAGCCCUGCUUUCAACACCUCAUUGAAGCAAUAUUAAAGUCGAAAAGGGCCCCACUAAAAUCCAAUUAGUGCCACAUAUUGCAGCACGCUGACAGCCAUUGCUAAAGUAACAUAAAUGCAUGUGCUGUACAUUUGCAUAUGCACAUGCUUGAUACGUGCAACUAGAAAAACCUAAACAAAAAUCUAUUUUUAGCACCGGUUUCGUUAUCGACGGCACUGAUGCCCACAUGAAUGUUUUGAUCAUUAUUUUUUGUCGCCGGGUCGGGAGUCGAACCAGAAGUGUUGAAGACCGCUAGAUGGGUUCCAUACGCGCUGGUGCCUUGGACCGUUUCUGCUGCAGUGAUAACAACAGAUAUUCCAUUAACUUAACCCGCAAACACCCGGGACGAUCUACUUUUGGUAGAAAUGCAAUAUCUUCUUUGUUUUAAAACAUUUUACCCCGGAUUUUUUUUUAUAAUCAAGGGGAAUAGUUAUGCUAAGAAAUGCAUGGUACCUCCCCCCUUUGCACACUCCCUUCUUUUGCGGGGAGGCGAGAAUACGUGGCUUUUUUUUUGUAUUUUUCAAAAAUUCUACAUGUUUUUGCUGAAAGUUCAUCGUUUUGCUAAUCGUCAAAAGUUUUCACUGAUCCUAGAUAUGCAAUGUAUUACUACUCAUCAUAGUCUAUUGAAGUUUUGAUCCCAGAGCUAUUCUAAGGCCUCCAAAGUACUCCGAAGUUUGUGACACAAAUCUAACAUUCUCAACCAAAUUUUAUACACGAUGAAUGAUUACAGAACAUUGUCUACGGUACUUAAAAAGCCUCAAAGCACCCCUAGAAAAUUCAUGGUACAUAAAUUGGGUGAUCUAGGUCAUCCAAACUACUCUGGAAUUCAUUUUCUUAAGAUCUAAAACAUCUACCAUCAUUUGUGUUCACUCUGUCCAAGAAAUUUAGUCACGUUGAUGUCCAUUACACCUCUCAAUGCUAUGAGCAACUUGAUAUUGUGGUAGUUGGGCAUUCCGUGAAAUACAAAUGGCCUCCAAUACAUUUUGAAGUUUGGCUUACGAUAUCGACAUACUGUCUCAUGCUUUAGUUGUGAAAAAUUUUCGUGGAAUCUAGUCUAUAGUGCUGAUGGAACCUCAGUGCACAUCUAUAAUGCUUUUGGUACAUUCAUGGGAUAUUCCAGGUUUUCCAAACUAUUCUGGAACUAGGAACUUCAAGGUCUACAGGCUCUACACUUGCUUUUCUUCACUCUAUCGGCAUAAUCCUUUCACGAUUGUGUAUGUUGCACCUCACUAUAUUACGAGUAUCUCACGCUAACGCCGCUCAGCACUAAAGUGCAUAAUUUCCAGACUACACCAAAAAUGUGUAACCCUUGCACAUUCACAAAAUCAGCUCCAGUGUCCGCAAAAUUGUUAAAAUCACUAAAAUUUUUGUACGCUAAUCUAGGUAGGAUUACUAGUGACCUUGGAAAACAAAAAAAAAUCAACAUUUCGCAUCUAGAAGAGUGUACGAGCUGUUUUUCGAGAAUGUGUAACUGCUACACAUUUUUGUGUGGUCUGGAAAUUAUGCACUUAUGAGUAGGUCUUACACAUUUUAGUGCUGAGCAGUUUUAGCGUGCUGUAUUUGUUGCUAUUUGGGUGUCCACUGGCAUACAAAUGGACCCAAUGUAUUUUGAAGUAUGGGUCGCAAUAUCUGUAAAUCUUAGGAUAUUUUUAUUGUAGUGAAUGCUCGCGGAAUAUAAUCUACGCUAUUCUUAGAACCUCAGGGGGCCAUUCUGAUAACUUAGGAACAUUCACUAGGUGAUCAAGGUCAUCCAAACUAUUCUGGAAUUCAGACCUUCAAGCUUUACACUCUUGUAUCUCUUUACUUUAUUCUUCGACGAUUACCUUUGUUGUAUCUCGUAAUGUUUUGAGUAUUUCUUUGUGUUGCUUGUGCAUCCACUGACAUACAAAUAAUCUUUAUGGUAUUUGGAAGUGUCGGAAAUUACCUAAGUAUUCCUCUAGGCGUUCCUCGGAAAUUCCUCCAGGAGUCCCUCAGAAAUUUUUCGUGAUGUUCUCCGAGAACAUCUACGAGUUCCUAGGGAAUACCUCAGGACUUCCCGUUAAAUUCCUUAAGAGUUUCCCAGCAGUUUCUCUAAAGUUUAUUCAGGAGAUACGCUGGAAUUCCUUCAGGAGUUCCUCAGGAAUUACUUCAAGAGCUUUUCGGAAAAUCCUGCAGGAGUUCCUCGGGAAUCCCUCCAGAAAUUUCCCGAGGAUUCCACGGGAGUCCUCCAAAGAUUUCUCCAGGCAUUCCCUUAAAACUCCUCAAGGAAAUUUUCUCAAGAGUUCAUCCAGAAAUUUCUCCUGGGAUUCCUCCAGCGAUUUCUCUAGAAAUUCUUCCAGGGAUUCCUUAAGGGAUUCCUUAAGGGAUUCCUUCAGGGUUUCCUUCAGGAAUAUCCCCAGGGAUUCCUUCGCGAAAUACUCUAUGGACUCAUCAAGGAAUUCAGUCAGGUAUUCCUCCAGGAAUUCCUCCAGAGCUCCUUCAGGAAUUCAUCAAAGAUCUCCUCCAACAACUAAUCCAGGGAUUUCUUCAGGAUUCACGGGAUUCUUCCAGAAGUUCUUCCAGGGAUUCCUCCAGAGUUUCCUCCAGGAAUUCUUCCAGGGAAUACUCCAGAAAUGCCUCCAGACAAUUUCUCCGGGUAAUCUUCCCGGGUAAUUUCUCCAGAAAUUCCUCCAGGAAUUUUUUCAUGAAAAACUGCUAAUUUAUGUAUGAAUUCAUCAAGGAAAUCCUUCAGAAAUUCCUCCACGGUGUCCUCCAGAAAUUCUUCCAAGAGUUCCUCCAGGAAUACCUCCAGGAAUUCCGCCAGCAAUUCAAACAGGGGUUCUUCCCGGAAUUCCUCACCGGGAUUCAUCCUUAAAUUAUUUCAGGGAUUCCAUCAGUCAUUCCUCCAGGGAUUCCUCCAGGAAUUCUUCCUGGAUAUACUCCAGGAUAUAUUCCAGAAAUUCCUUCGGCAAAUAUUCCAGGAGUUCUUUCAAGAAUUACUCCACGAAUGAUUACGAAUUCCUUCUGGAAUUACUACAGGAAAUCGUCUAGGAAUUGUUCCGGGAAACACCCUAGGAAUUCCUUCAAGAAAUACUCUAGAAAUUCCUCCAGGAAUAACUACAUGAAUUUCAACAGGAAUUGCUGUAUUAAUUACUACAGGAAUUUCUCCAGAAAUUCCUUCAAUUCCAGUUCAUACAGGAAAUACCUCAAGUGAAUUCGGAAUCACUCGUAUGAAUUACUCCAUGAAUUCUUACAGGAAAUAAUUCAUGAAAUCCUCCAGAAAUUCCUCCAGAAAAUUAAAAUUGAAAAAAAAAUUCUAAAUUUCAUCGCAGUUCAACGAAAUCCUUAAGGAAUUCCUGUUAGAAUUCCCCUGGGAAAUUCUUUAAAAAAAUCCUUCACAAAUUACUACAUGAAUUGGCGAAAGUACUCCAGGAAUUCCUCCAGGGUAUUCUCCAGAAAUUUCUUCAAGAAAUUCUUGAAGAAAUUCUUGGAAGUAUUCUUGUACGAAUUCUUGGAGGAAUUCCUGGAGAAAUUCCUAGAGAGAUUCUUGGAGGAUUACCUGAAGGUAUUCUUGGAGGGAUUCCCGGAAAUAUUCCAGUAUGCAUUUCUGGAGGAGUUUCUGAAAGUAUUUAUUGAAAAACCCCUUAGGUUUUCCUGGAGAAAUUUAUAAAGGAACUCCUGGCCAAAUUCCAGGACGGAUUCUUGGAGGAAUUUUGACAUAAACAUUGGAGCAGGUCUUGGAGAAAUUCUUAUUAGAGUUCAUGUUGGACUGAAGAAUCUAGGAGGUAUUCAUAAAGGAAUUUCUGGAGGAUUUUUUGAAUGAAUUUUUAAAGGAAUUUCUUGACAAAUCCCUGGAGGAAUUUCUAGCGAAAUUCCUUGUCUUGCAUGUCUGGCUGGGUCAUAUUGACCCCUACAUCUUACUUGGCUUAAGAAAGAUACAAUGGCAUUCAUAAAGCAGGAUCUCAGGCUGGUUCCUAUUAAUCAAUGUUUCUAUGUUGUAUCUUACGACAAAAAUAGAAUCUUUAAAUUCUCGUAGAAUUCAGAUUCGUUUGCUGUUUUUUUUAUUUUUUUUAAAGUUGUUUUACAAUGUCAAAGUGUUCUCAAAAGUUUACAAGUACUUUCACAUUGCCAUAAUCUGAUGAUUCCUCGUAAUCUGUAAAUUGAAUCAAGUAGAUAUACAUUUUUAAAUACGCACUAAAAUAUAAAACUACUUAUUUUUUUCAAAUUUCACUUGGAAACGAAAAAAAUACUCAAAAAUAUUAUUUAAAAGGCCAAAUUACAUAAUUUUUCUUUAUUCGUGCCGCGGGCCGCACGAAAUAUCCUCGCGGGCCGGAUCCGGCCCGCGGGUCGUACGUUGGGCAGCCCUGCUUUCAACACCUCAUUGAAGCAAUAUUAAAGUCGAAAAGGGCCCCACUAAAAUCCAAUUAGUGCCACAUAUUGCAGCACGCUGACAGCCAUUGCUAAAGUAACAUAAAUGCAUGUGCUGUACAUUUGCAUAUGCACAUGCUUGAUACGUGCAACUAGAAAAACCUAAACAAAAAUCUAUUUUUAGCACCGGUUUCGUUAUCGACGGCACUGAUGCCCACAUGAAUGUUUUGAUCAUUAUUUUUUGUCGCCGGGUCGGGAGUCGAACCAGAAGUGUUGAAGACCGCUAGAUGGGUUCCAUACGCGCUGGUGCCUUGGACCGUUUCUGCUGCAGUGAUAACAACAGAUAUUCCAUUAACUUAACCCGCAAACACCCGGGACGAUCUACUUUUGGUAGAAAUGCAAUAUCUUCUUUGUUUUAAAACAUUUUACCCCGGAUUUUUUUUUAUAAUCAAGGGGAAUAGUUAUGCUAAGAAAUGCAUGGUACCUCCCCCCUUUGCACACUCCCUUCUUUUGCGGGGAGGCGAGAAUACGUGGCUUUUUUUUUGUAUUUUUCAAAAAUUCUACAUGUUUUUGCUGAAAGUUCAUCGUUUUGCUAAUCGUCAAAAGUUUUCACUGAUCCUAGAUAUGCAAUGUAUUACUACUCAUCAUAGUCUAUUGAAGUUUUGAUCCCAGAGCUAUUCUAAGGCCUCCAAAGUACUCCGAAGUUUGUGACACAAAUCUAACAUUCUCAACCAAAUUUUAUACACGAUGAAUGAUUACAGAACAUUGUCUACGGUACUUAAAAAGCCUCAAAGCACCCCUAGAAAAUUCAUGGUACAUAAAUUGGGUGAUCUAGGUCAUCCAAACUACUCUGGAAUUCAUUUUCUUAAGAUCUAAAACAUCUACCAUCAUUUGUGUUCACUCUGUCCAAGAAAUUUAGUCACGUUGAUGUCCAUUACACCUCUCAAUGCUAUGAGCAACUUGAUAUUGUGGUAGUUGGGCAUUCCGUGAAAUACAAAUGGCCUCCAAUACAUUUUGAAGUUUGGCUUACGAUAUCGACAUACUGUCUCAUGCUUUAGUUGUGAAAAAUUUUCGUGGAAUCUAGUCUAUAGUGCUGAUGGAACCUCAGUGCACAUCUAUAAUGCUUUUGGUACAUUCAUGGGAUAUUCCAGGUUUUCCAAACUAUUCUGGAACUAGGAACUUCAAGGUCUACAGGCUCUACACUUGCUUUUCUUCACUCUAUCGGCAUAAUCCUUUCACGAUUGUGUAUGUUGCACCUCACUAUAUUACGAGUAUCUGUAUUUGUUGCUAUUUGGGUGUCCACUGGCAUACAAAUGGACCCAAUGUAUUUUGAAGUAUGGGUCGCAAUAUCUGUAAAUCUUAGGAUAUUUUUAUUGUAGUGAAUGCUCGCGGAAUAUAAUCUACGCUAUUCUUAGAACCUCAGGGGGCCAUUCUGAUAACUUAGGAACAUUCACUAGGUGAUCAAGGUCAUCCAAACUAUUCUGGAAUUCAGACCUUCAAGCUUUACACUCUUGUAUCUCUUUACUUUAUUCUUCGACGAUUACCUUUGUUGUAUCUCGUAAUGUUUUGAGUAUUUCUUUGUGUUGCUUGUGCAUCCACUGACAUACAAAUAAUCUUUAUGGUAUUUGGAAGUGUCGGAAAUUACCUAAGUAUUCCUCUAGGCGUUCCUCGGAAAUUCCUCCAGGAGUCCCUCAGAAAUUUUUCGUGAUGUUCUCCGAGAACAUCUACGAGUUCCUAGGGAAUACCUCAGGACUUCCCGUUAAAUUCCUUAAGAGUUUCCCAGCAGUUUCUCUAAAGUUUAUUCAGGAGAUACGCUGGAAUUCCUUCAGGAGUUCCUCAGGAAUUACUUCAAGAGCUUUUCGGAAAAUCCUGCAGGAGUUCCUCGGGAAUCCCUCCAGAAAUUUCCCGAGGAUUCCACGGGAGUCCUCCAAAGAUUUCUCCAGGCAUUCCCUUAAAACUCCUCAAGGAAAUUUUCUCAAGAGUUCAUCCAGAAAUUUCUCCUGGGAUUCCUCCAGCGAUUUCUCUAGAAAUUCUUCCAGGGAUUCCUUAAGGGAUUCCUUAAGGGAUUCCUUCAGGGUUUCCUUCAGGAAUAUCCCCAGGGAUUCCUUCGCGAAAUACUCUAUGGACUCAUCAAGGAAUUCAGUCAGGUAUUCCUCCAGGAAUUCCUCCAGAGCUCCUUCAGGAAUUCAUCAAAGAUCUCCUCCAACAACUAAUCCAGGGAUUUCUUCAGGAUUCACGGGAUUCUUCCAGAAGUUCUUCCAGGGAUUCCUCCAGAGUUUCCUCCAGGAAUUCUUCCAGGGAAUACUCCAGAAAUGCCUCCAGACAAUUUCUCCGGGUAAUCUUCCCGGGUAAUUUCUCCAGAAAUUCCUCCAGGAAUUUUUUCAUGAAAAACUGCUAAUUUAUGUAUGAAUUCAUCAAGGAAAUCCUUCAGAAAUUCCUCCACGGUGUCCUCCAGAAAUUCUUCCAAGAGUUCCUCCAGGAAUACCUCCAGGAAUUCCGCCAGCAAUUCAAACAGGGGUUCUUCCCGGAAUUCCUCACCGGGAUUCAUCCUUAAAUUAUUUCAGGGAUUCCAUCAGUCAUUCCUCCAGGGAUUCCUCCAGGAAUUCUUCCUGGAUAUACUCCAGGAUAUAUUCCAGAAAUUCCUUCGGCAAAUAUUCCAGGAGUUCUUUCAAGAAUUACUCCACGAAUGAUUACGAAUUCCUUCUGGAAUUACUACAGGAAAUCGUCUAGGAAUUGUUCCGGGAAACACCCUAGGAAUUCCUUCAAGAAAUACUCUAGAAAUUCCUCCAGGAAUAACUACAUGAAUUUCAACAGGAAUUGCUGUAUUAAUUACUACAGGAAUUUCUCCAGAAAUUCCUUCAAUUCCAGUUCAUACAGGAAAUACCUCAAGUGAAUUCGGAAUCACUCGUAUGAAUUACUCCAUGAAUUCUUACAGGAAAUAAUUCAUGAAAUCCUCCAGAAAUUCCUCCAGAAAAUUAAAAUUGAAAAAAAAAUUCUAAAUUUCAUCGCAGUUCAACGAAAUCCUUAAGGAAUUCCUGUUAGAAUUCCCCUGGGAAAUUCUUUAAAAAAAUCCUUCACAAAUUACUACAUGAAUUGGCGAAAGUACUCCAGGAAUUCCUCCAGGGUAUUCUCCAGAAAUUUCUUCAAGAAAUUCUUGAAGAAAUUCUUGGAAGUAUUCUUGUACGAAUUCUUGGAGGAAUUCCUGGAGAAAUUCCUAGAGAGAUUCUUGGAGGAUUACCUGAAGGUAUUCUUGGAGGGAUUCCCGGAAAUAUUCCAGUAUGCAUUUCUGGAGGAGUUUCUGAAAGUAUUUAUUGAAAAACCCCUUAGGUUUUCCUGGAGAAAUUUAUAAAGGAACUCCUGGCCAAAUUCCAGGACGGAUUCUUGGAGGAAUUUUGACAUAAACAUUGGAGCAGGUCUUGGAGAAAUUCUUAUUAGAGUUCAUGUUGGACUGAAGAAUCUAGGAGGUAUUCAUAAAGGAAUUUCUGGAGGAUUUUUUGAAUGAAUUUUUAAAGGAAUUUCUUGACAAAUCCCUGGAGGAAUUUCUAGCGAAAUUCCUGAAAUUGGCAGAUAUCUUAGAGGGUUCUCUGGUAAAAUUCUUGGGGAAGGUACAGUAGGAUUUUUUUUAUAAUUCCUGGAGGGAUUCUUUGAAGAAUUCUAGACAGAUGUCUUGGAGUAAUUUCUGGGUGAAUUCUGAAGAUAUUUCCGGAGUAAUUUCUGGGAGAAUUGUUGGAGGAAACUCUGGAGGAACCAGUGGAGAAAUUUCUGGAAGAAUCGCUUGAAUCCUGAAGAAAUCCCUGGGUUGGCUGCUGGAGGAAAUCUUGGAAGAACCUCUGAGAGAGCUCUGGAGGAAUUCCUGGAGGAAUACCUGAAUGAAUUCCUGGAUGAAUCCAUGGAGGAAUCCAUGCAGGAAUUUCUGGGGGUAUUCCUGAAGGAAUCCCUGGAAGAACUUCUAGAGAAACCGCUGAAGGAAUCCCUGGAGAAAUUCUUAGGAAAAUUCUUGGAGGAAUCCCUGGAAAAUUUCCUGGAGGGAUUCCAGGAGAAAUUUCUGGAGGAACUCUUGGGAAAACUUCCUUGAUGAGUUUUUAGGGAAUGCAUGAAGAAAUCCCGUGGAAUCCUCGGGGAAUUUCUGAAGGAAUUCCCGAGGAACUCCUACAGGAUUUUUCGAAAACUUUUUCCAGUUUUCCAGCAUAGCUCCUGAAUAAAUUUUCGAGAAACUGCUGAAAAAGUUCACGGGAAGUCUUGAGACAUUCCCUAGGAACUCGUAGAGAUAUUCUCGGAGAAUAUCACGAUGAAUUUCUGAGGGACUCCUAGAGGAAUUUCCAAGGAACGCCUAGAGGAAUUCUUGGGUAAUUAUCGACACUUCCAAAUACCAUAAAGAAAAUUUGUAUGUCAGUGGAUGAACAAGUAACACAAAUACUCAACAAAUUAUGAGAUACAACAGAGGUAAUCGUGGAAGAAGUACAUCGAUAAAAUAAAGAUUUACAAGAGUAGAGCUUGUAGAGCUUGAAAGUCUUAAUUUCAGAAUAGUUUGGAUGACCUAGAUCACCAAGUGAAUGUUCCUAAGUUAUCAGAAUUGCUCUCCGAGGUUCUAAGAGUAGCGUAGAUUAUAUUCCGCGAGCAUUCACUACAAUAAAAAUAUCCUAAGAUUUACAGAUAUUGCGACCCAUACUUCAAAAUACAUUUGGUCCAUUUGUAUGCCAGUGGACACCCAAAUAGCAACAAAUACAGAUACUCGUAAUAUAAUGAGGUGCAACAGACACAAUCGUGAAAGGAUUAUGCCGACAGAGUGAAGAAAAACAAGAGUAGAGCCUGUAGACCUUGAAGUUCCUAAUUCCAGAAUAGUUUGGAAAGCCUUGAAUAUCCCAUGAAUGUACCAAAAGCAUUAUAGAUGUGCACUGAGGCUCCAUCAGCACUAUAGACUAGAUUCCACGAAAAUUUUUCACAACUAAAGCAUGAGACAGUAUGUAGAUAUCGGAAGCCAAACUUCAAAAUGUAUUGGAGACCAUUUGUAUUUCACGGAAUGUCCAACUACCACAAUAUCAAGUUGCUCAUAGCAUUGUGAGGUGUAAUGGACAUCAACGUGACUAAAUUUCUUGGACAGAGUGAACACAAACGAUGGUAGAUGUUUUAGAUCUUAAGAAAAUGAAUUCCAGAGUAGUUUGGAUGACCUAGAUCACCCAAUUUAUGUACCAUGAAUUUUCUAGGGGUGCUUUGAGGCUUUUUUAGUACCGUAGACAAUGUUCUGUAAUCAUUCAUCGUGUAUAAAAUUUGGUUGAGAAUGAUAGAUUUGUGUCACAAACUUCGGAGUACUCUUGAGGCCUUAGAAUAACUCUAAGAUCAAAACUUCAACAGACUAUGAUGGUUAGUAAUACAUUGCAUAUCUAGGAUCAGUGAAAACUAUUGAUGAUUAGCAAAACGAUGAACUUUCAGCAAAAACAUGUAGAAUUUAUGAAAAAUACAAAAAAAAGCCACGUAUUUUCGCCUCCCCGCAAAAGGGGGGAGGGUGCAAAGGGGGGAGGUACCAUGCAUUUCUUAGCACAACUAUUCCCCUUGACUAUAAAAAAAAUCCGGGGUAAAAUGUUUUGAAACAAAGAAGAUAUUGCAUUUCUGCCAAAAGUAGAUCGUCCCGGGUGUUUGCGGGUUAAAGGAAACUGUUCUUCUGUCUCAAUCAUUGCAGUAGAGGGCAAAACGACUAUGUCAUAUGUAAUAGAAUUCAGUGAUUUGUCACAAUCUGAUAAAUACAUAAUGCAGAGGCGUCUCGUGACUGGCAGACUGACCUGUUCUACAGAUUACUAUUUACUAAAUGAAAACACAUUAGAGUUAUUUUAUACUAUGCUUGCUGUUUUUUUUUGUUUUAGUAUUGUGAUUUUUAACAUUAAAUGUUAAACAAAUUUUGUUUGUUAACCACUUUUAUCUUCUUGUUUGUUAACCAUUUUCUGAAAAAUAUCUUCCGCAUUUUCAUCGCAAAUAAUGAUGCGACUCGCAUUCAGAUGCGCCUUUGAGCGACUUCCGAAGUUUGGUAUCUCACAUACUUUUAGAAAAAUCCAUUUUCGGUGGAAGUCAUUUUCUAACGUUCUUCACACACCGACGAUACUUGUUUUUUUUUUUCAAUCAUGUCCAACAUGCUCUCUUUUCCGCAAAUGUUCGAAAUUUCCACCUCCAUAAAUUGUUUUAGCUCGUAUCAUGACCUCGAAGUUAAAAUUUGGAAACCGCUGCCAACGAGCUAGAGCACAUUCGGCUCCCCCAGCUUCAUCCACGCUGGAUGUAAUGCAUAACAAGCGCGCACGACAUUGGGUGUGC